GUAGGGGGCAAGCGUUGUCCGGAUUUAUUGGGCGUAAAGAGCGUGUAGGCGGCCAGACAGGUCCGUUGUGAAAACUGGAGGCUUAACCUUCAGACGUCGAUGGAAACCGUCGGGCUAGAGUCCGGAAGAGGAGAGUGGAAUUCCUGGUGUAGCGGUGAAAUGCGCAGAUAUCAGGAAGAACACCCGUGGCUAAGGCGGCUCUCUAGUACGGUACUGACGCUGAGACGCGAAAGCGUGGGGAGCGAACAGGAUUAGAUACCCUGGUAGUCCACGCCGUAAACGAUGGGUGCUAGGUGUGGGGGGUGUCGACUCCCUCCGUGCCGAAGCUAACGCAUUAAGCACCCCGCCUGGGGAGUACGGCCGCAAGGCUAAA
rnacentral:rRNA from 1 species